rnacentral:rRNA from 1 species
UACGAAGGGGGCUAGCGUUGCUCGGAAUCCCUGGGCGUAAAGGGUGCGUAGGCGGGUCUUUAAGGCAGGGGUGAAAUCCUGGAGCUCAACUCCAGAACUGCCUUUGAUACUGGCGAUCUCGAGUCCGGGAGAGGUGAGUGGAACUGCGAGUGUAGAGGUGAAAUUCGUAGAUAUUCGCAAGAACACCAGUGGCGAAGGCGGCUCACUGGCCCGGUACUGACGCUGAGGUGCGAAAGCGUGGGGAGCAAACAGG